CUUUAUAUGUAUGUAAAAGGUUAAGUCUGAUUUGCUCCAGUGCACUAUGGGAAUUGUAGGCAGCACAAAUGCUGGGAAAUGUAGUCAAAGUGUCUUCCUCUUUCUCUUUCUCCCUGUAAUGGCUGCCUGCAGUAAGGUAAUGCACGUAGGCCUGGCUUCUAACACAGGGUGAUGACUGAGUGGAGUUCAUUGCUUUCUGGAUUCCAAUGCUAACCAUAAAGGAAAUAUCAGAGAGUAACUAUAGAAUUACGGUAAGUUGCUGGUAGACUUUUAAUAGAAGACAAAAACUUGUAAAUUUACACUGUUGUCCUGUUUUCUCAAUCUCUAUGCUCAUCUGACCUUCAAUCUCCAGUGUUUAGCCAGAGGGGAGGGAAAUCUGGAAAAGUGUAAGCACAGUGUAAGUUCAUUCAGUUUUAGGACCACUUCUUUAGGGGGAGUGGGAUGUUAAGCAUGGCAAUAACAUAAAUGUUAUAUCACUGACAUGGCUAAUAUCAUAAUGCAUGGAUCACCCUACCAAUUAAGGGAUAAUUAUGGGAAAACUGAACCACAGUGAGAUUUAAGUGACUUGCUCCAGGUCAUAUAAGAAUCUUUGGCAGAGCCAGGAAGAAAACCUGAGGGCUUGUCUGCAUGGGGGUAUUGACCAGAAUAGUUCCCCAUGUGGACACACUUACUUCAGAAUCAGACUGCCUUUUUUUCCUGAUUUAGCUUGAUCCACUUUGGAAGUAAAUUAAAGCUAAACUGGAAAAAGGCUUUCUUAUUCCAGAAUAGAGCAUCCACACGGGGACCUAUUCCACAAUAACUUUUUGUUUUAAAUUCUCACCCUCCAUUAUUCCGGAAUCACUUCCCUAAAGCUAUGUCUUCACUGACCAAAAAAGUGUGUGUUUUCCUGCGUUAGCUAUCCUGCUGUAAAAUCCUAGUGGAGACAAGGCACUUUAGUGUUACUGCAAGAUAAACUAGGCAAGAUCAAAUGAGUGGGGAGUACAGUGCUGACCUUGACUAGCUUCCUUAUGAUAAACACUAUGGUAUCUUCACUUAGGAUUUUAUAGAGAGAGAACUCUUACUGUUUGUUUUUUUUAUCUUGCUGUAAAAAAAACCACAUUUGUGUCGGUGAAGACCAAGCCUGAAUCUCCAAAUCUUGUUCCUGCUCUGUGGAUCAAUCACACUACUAUACAUUUCCAUACAGACUUGGUGAUACUCUAGUCACAUCUGUUGAUCUGGAGUUCUUGGAAAUAAAUUUAAAGGAAAAAAACCCUCUCA
rnacentral:lncRNA from 1 species